GUACCAAUUCAUUGAAUCUUUAGCACUGUGUUCAUUUACAAAGCAGGAAAGGUACAGGCCAUUUUAGGUCACUAUAAACAGUCUUGCUGGUUUGAUUUUUAUUUAUUUUUUCCCCCCCCUACCCUCAGUGAAGUAGAUGCUGCCUGUUUGGCCCGAGAGUACCUGAUGUACAGGGAGAAGGAGGGGGUCAAGCACCUUCCAUCAGAGUCUGCCGCACAGGAAGUCCUUAAGGCAUUUCUCGACAAAGGAAAUGAGUGAUCAGAAAUGCAAUGUUGGGACAAGGCACUUGCCCUAAAACUUCAUUUUUUGGUUUGUUUUUUCACUGUCUUUUGCAUACUAUUCAUGUUCAGAACUGUAAAUAAACUUGUAUGCCCUUGAAUUGUAUCACA